rnacentral:rRNA from 1 species
UACAGAGGUCUCAAGCGUUGUUCGGAUUCAUUGGGCGUAAAGGGUGUGUAGGUGGCGCCGUAAGUCGGGUGUGAAAUUUCGGAGCUUAACUCCGAAACUGCAUUCGAUACUGCCGUGCUUGAGGACUGGGGAGGAGACUGGAAUUUACGGUGUAGCGGUGAAAUGCGUAGAUAUCGUAAGGAAGACCAGUGGCGAAGGCGGGUCUCUGGACAGUUCCUGACGCUGAGGCACGAAGGCCAGGGGAGCAAACGGG